AAAGUUUGAUCCUGGCUCAGAUUGAACGCUGGCGGCAUGCCUUACAYAUGCAAGUCGAACGGCAGCACGGGAGCAAUCCUGGUGGCGAGUGGCGAACGGGUGAGUAAUAUAUCGGAACGUGCCCAGUCGUGGGGGAUAACGCAGCGAAAGCUGUGCUAAUACCGCAUACGAUCUCUGGAUGAAAGCGGGGGACUCGCAAGAGCCUCGCGCGAUUGGAGCGGCCGAUAUCAGAUUAGCUAGUUGGUGGGGUAAAGGCUCACCAAGGCGACGAUCUGUAGCUGGUCUGAGAGGACGACCAGCCACACUGGAACUGAGACACGGUCCAGACUCCUACGGGAGGCAGCAGUGGGGAAUUUUGGACAAUGGGCGCAAGCCUGAUCCAGCAAUGCCGCGUGCAGGAUGAAGGCCUUCGGGUUGUAAACUGCUUUUGUACGGAACGAAACGGUUCUCUCUAAUAAAGAGGGCUAAUGACGGUACCGUAAGAAUAAGCACCGGCUAACUACGUGCCAGCAGCCGCGGUAAUACGUAGGGUGCGAGCGUUAAUCGGAAUUACUGGGCGUAAAGCGUGCGCASGCGGUGAUGUAAGACAGAUGUGAAAUCCCCGGGCUCAACCUGGGACCUGCAUUUGUGACUGCAUCRCUAGAGUACGGUAGAGGGGGAUGGAAUUCCGCGUGUAGCASUGAAAUGCGUAGAUAUGCGGAGGAACACCGAUGGCGAAGGCAAUCCCCUGGACCUGUACUGACGCUCAUGCACGAAAGCGUGGGGAGCAAACAGGAUUAGAUACCCUGGUAGUCCACGCCCUAAACGAUGUCAACUACGUGUUGGGGGGAGGAGACUUCCUUAGUACCGCARCUAACGCGUGAAKUUGACCGCCUGGGGAGUACGGGCCGCAAGGUUGAAACUCARAGGRAWUUGACGGGKACCCSSWCMAKCGGUGSAUUAUKKGGAAUUAAUUCGAUGCAACGCGAAAACUUACCUAUCCUUGAACWKKUCAAAMRRUCGCAAARAUGKGAUGUGCCCGAAAGSGCAAUCYKGACYCMGGGUGCUGCAUGCGUGYGYCRSCYGGUGUCCGUGRAUGUGGUUAAUUCCGCCACGASGCCACCGUUGUCUAAUGCCWCRAUUAUGGACWYUUUWRUGAACSUGGCGCGUKAUAUYACUCGAAGAGAAAGAUGUGG
rnacentral:rRNA from 1 species